GCAGUCGAGCGGAACCAUUGGAGCUUGCUCCUUUGGUUUAGCGGCGGACGGGUGAGUAACACGUGGGCAACCUGCCCAGCAGAUCGGGAUAACUCCGGGAAACCGGUGCUAAUACCGAAUAGUUUGCGGCCUCUCAUGAGGCUGCACGGAAAGACGGUUUCGGCUGUCACUGCAGGAUGGGCCCGCGGCGCAUUAGCUAGUUGGUGGGGUAACGGCCUACCAAGGCGACGAUGCGUAGCCGACCUGAGAGGGUGAUCGGCCACACUGGGACUGAGACACGGCCCAGACUCCUACGGGAGGCAGCAGUAGGGAAUCUUCCGCAAUGGACGAAAGUCUGACGGAGCAACGCCGCGUGAGUGAAGAAGGUUUUCGGAUCGUAAAACUCUGUUGUGAGGGAAGAACAAGUAUCAACUAACUAUUGGUACCUUGACGGUACCUCACCAGAAAGCCACGGCUAACUACGUGCCAGCAGCCGCGGUAAU
rnacentral:rRNA from 1 species